CAGCAACACUCUGGCUGAUGAUCAAAACUGUCUGAAACAAUUUGAGCUUGCCAUAGCAACAAAGUCUAACCUACUCCAGUGCACUCUCCUCUGUGAGACAGGCCUUACAAAGACACAGACAGU